GACGAACGCUGGCGGUGUGCUUCACACAUGCAAGUCGAACGAGGUAGCAAUACCUAGUGGCGGACGGGUGAGUAACGCGUGGGAAUCUGCCUUUAGAUGGGGGAUAACGAGCCGAAAGGUUCGCUAAUACCGCAUAGGUCGCAAGAUUAAAGGAGUAAUCCGUCUAGAGAUGAGCCCGCGUCCGAUUAGCUAGUUGGUAGGGUAAAGGCCUACCAAGGCGACGAUCGGUAGCUGGUCUGAGAGGAUGAUCAGCCACAAUGGGACUGAGACACGGCCCAUACUCCUACGGGAGGCAGCAGUGGGGAAUUUUACGCAAUGGGCGAAAGCCUGACGUAGCGACACCGCGUGAGCGAAGAAGCCCUUUGGGGUGUAAAGCUCUGUCGGCUGGAACGAAAAAAAUGACGGUACCAGCAAAGGAAGCAUCGGCUAAC
rnacentral:rRNA from 1 species